rfam:Beauveria bassiana ARSEF 2860 unplaced genomic scaffold BBA_S00006, whole genome shotgun sequence.
CUAUGAUGAAACAGAUGACGAGUCUUAUUCGAGUUUUCGAUGCAGACACUAUCUUUUUUUAUACCAUUCAUGCUUUACCUGACC